UACGGGGGGGGCAAGCGUUGUUCGGAAUUACUGGGCGUAAAGGGCUCGUAGGCGGCCAACUAAGUCGGACGUGAAAUCCCUCGGCUCAACCGGGGAACUGCGUCCGAUACUGGAUGGCUUGAGUUCGGGAGAGGGAUGCGGAAUUCCAGGUGUAGCGGUGAAAUGCGUAGAUAUCUGGAGGAACACCGGUGGCGAAGGCGGCAUCCUGGAC
rnacentral:rRNA from 1 species